rnacentral:rRNA from 1 species
UAAUACGUAGGGUGCAAGCGUUAAUCGGAAUUACUGGGCGUAAAGCGUGCGCAGGCGGAUGUUUAAGCCAGAUGUGAAAGCCCCGAGCUUAACUUGGGAAUUGCGUUUGGAACUGAGCAUCUAGAGUCUGUCAGAGGGGGAUGGAAUUCCACGUGUAGCAGUGAAAUGCGUAGAGAUGUGGAGGAACACCGAUGGCGAAGGCAGUCCCCUGGGAUAAGACUGACGCUCAUGCACGAAAGCGUGGGGAGCAAACAGG